rnacentral:rRNA from 1 species
GUGGGGAAUCUUGCGCAAUGGGCGAAAGCCUGACGCAGCCAUGCCGCGUGAAUGAUGAAGGUCUUAGGAUUGUAAAAUUCUUUCACCGGGGACGAUAAUGACGGUACCCGGAGAAGAAGCUCCGGCUAACUUCGUGCCAGCAGCCGCGGUAAUACGAAGGGGGCUAGCGUUGCUCGGAAUUACUGGGCGUAAAGGGCGCGUAGGCGGACAUUUAAGUCAGGGGUGAAAUCCCGGGGCUCAACCUCGGAACUGCCUUUGAUACUGGGUGUCUUGAGUAUGAGAGAGGUGUGUGGAACUCCGAGUGUAGAGGUGAAAUUCGUAGAUAUUCGGAAGAACACCAGUGGCGAAGGCGACACACUGGCUCAUUACUGACGCUGAGGCGCGAAAGCGUGGGGAGCAAACAGGAUUAGAUACCCGUGUAGUCC